rnacentral:lncRNA from 1 species
UCUAAUGCAAGAAAGCCAGUGACUAAUGGCAAUGUGGAGGAAAGAGGUCAGACCUUGAAGACGGCAGCUUUAGGAGGCUCCAGUGGUUUGUCGACUCAGGUCUGUAAUUUAUUCCUUUCUUUCCGAGCCAUGUUUCAGGUGUGGAGUAACUGGCUGCCCUUUGAAUAAGUGUUCUAAAGCUAAGUUCUUUAAUAGUUCUGUCGGCCCAGAAAAUGACUUUUUAAAAUAACUUAAGAAUUCAGCGCCAUACCAAAGCCCUCUGUGGCCUGCUCUAGUUCUGUAUCCCUAGGCUCCCUCCCACCAUACUGAACAUGAUGCCAUGCCAUGUCUCCCUGGCAACGUGCUGCGUUCUGCCUUCACGGUUUUGUUCAGUCUUCACCUUUUAUGUCAUUCCCUGGAACACUGUCCUCUGCCUGGCAGUGUGUGUUUGUCCUGCAUCCUUCCAUGCCACCAUGUUCUCUCCCAUCCUGUCUCUCACUCUUCUGGGUCUUUCCUGUCAGAGCCCACAUUUACGUUGUUUGUGUUUCGUUAGAUAGGAAAGGGGCUUUACAUGAAAGGUAAGGCUGGCCCAGAGCUUCCCGUAUAGUCUAGGCUGACCCCCUAUUCACGGUAGUCACUGACCAUAGUCCCUCCCACUUCACCCCAAGUGUGAUUAUAGGUCUGCACAACCUGCUUGGCUCUUUUUGUAUAUUUAUUCUCUGCAGUGGUCCAGCCUCUUUUUUUUCCUCAGCAGAGUCUGUAUUUCUGGUGCC